CAGCCGCCGCGGUAAUACGAAGGGUGCAAGCGUUACUCGGAAUUACUGGGCGUAAAGCGUGCGUAGGUGGUGGUUUAAGUCCGUUGUGAAAGCCCUGGGCUCAACCUGGGAAUUGCAGUGGAUACUGGGUCACUAGAGUGUGGUAGAGGAUAGUGGAAUUUCCGGUGUAGCAGUGAAAUGCGUAGAGAUCGGAAAGAACACCAACGGCGAAAGCACUCUGCUGGGCCGACACUGACACUGAGAGACGAAAGCUAGGGGAGCAAAUGGGAUUAGAUACCCCCGUAGUCCCUGUCUCUUAUAC
rnacentral:rRNA from 1 species